rnacentral:rRNA from 1 species
UACGGAGGGUGCAAGCGUUAAUCGGAAUUACUGGGCGUAAAGCGUGCGUAGGCGGUUCGUUAAGUCUGUUGUGAAAGCCCCGGGCUCAACCUGGGAAUGGCAAUGGAUACUGGCGAGCUAGAGUGUGUCAGAGGAUGGUGGAAUUCCCGGUGUAGCGGUGAAAUGCGUAGGAGAUCGGGAGGAACAUCAGUGGCGAAGGCGGCCAUCUG